GACGAACGCUGGCGGCGUGCUUAACACAUGCAAGUCGAGCGAUGAAAUUCCUUCGGGAAUGAAUUAGCGGCGGACGGGUGAGUAACACGUGGGUAACCUGCCUUGUAGAGGGGAAUAGCCUUCCGAAAGGAAGAUUAAUACCGCAUAAGAUUGUAGUAUCGCAUGAUAUAGCAAUUAAAGGAGCAAUCCGCUAUGAGAUGGACCCGCGUCGCAUUAGCUAGUUGGUGAGGUAACGGCUCACCAAGGCGACGAUGCGUAGCCGACCUGAGAGGGUGAUCGGCAACAUUGGGACUGAGACACGGCCCAGACUCCUACGGGAGGCAGCAGUGGGGAAUAUUGCACAAUGGGGGAAACCCUGAUGCAGCAACGCCGCGUGAGUGAUGACGGUCUUCGGAUUGUAAAACCCUGUCUUCAGGGACGAUAAUGACGGUACCUGAGGAGGAAGCCACGGCUAACUACGUGCCAGCCGCCGCAGUAAUAC
rnacentral:rRNA from 1 species